UCUGUUGCUUCUCUCGUCCAUUCAGAAAUAUUUUAUGUCUUGCCUGCGGAGCUUCCACUUGUGUCUGUUUUUACUUGGCUGUGUUUUCUGGGCAUGUCCUUGUUCGAGAACUUCAAGAUUUUUUGUAUAUGGUUUUGUUAUCGCCUUUUCGGGUUUUUUUUAUGUAAAAGUGGAGGUCGAUGUGGCGUAGGCAUUGUUUUUGUGAUCGAGUGUAAUACAUUAUUGUCAUUUCGAUGGCCUUACUUCUGUGCUUUGUCUGCCGCAAAUAGGCCUCAUGUGCUGUCGAGGGUCCCAUGAUGUGGGAAUGGGUAUAAAACGAGACGGCUUUAGGAUGUAAUCUUAAGCAAGAAUUUUUUAUAUCUAAGUAUAAGUAUUUUCUGAAUAACAUAUAAGUAAACUAACUUUGUGUUUUGAUUUUGCCUUUUCUAGGUAAGUAACAAUCGCUUUUGACUUGGAACAAGUGAGUACAAAAUAACCUAUUACAUAUCUUUAAAUUAACCAUCCCCGCCAUUAAUUUCGUUGCGAUUUGAACUCUAUUUGCUAAUUUAAAAAAAAAUGUGCAGCAUUCCCUGCGGGCUGUGUAACAAAUUUUUGGUGUAUCAUGAAAAACACGUAAACGGGAGUCUGAAGGCAAUAAAUCAAUCCAUGGCCCGGCUUAAUAUGUGGUCUGUCAAUUUAGGGCCAGGCUUUUUAUCCGCAACUCGAGACUCAGCAUCUGCGUCUGUGGUUUGGCUGCCUUUUCAGCCAGCUAUCGGAAUAACGUGCUAUUUUUUUGCUCUCGAUGCUUCUAUUCCGCUUUGAACUAAUUUUUUGCUGAGGACAUUGAUAAACAUGUGUCCUCGUGAACCCUGCAGUUGUCUUUUGUUUACCGCAAUGAUUGCGGGCUGAGCCUUUUAUUUGUUCGUCUCCUUCGGCACAAACUCAGACAGGGAUUGUUCGACAAUGCGUUCUAAAUCAAAUGUCAAAUGAAUUUCGAGGUGGUUGACAGAGAGUAAUGUGUGUGUGCUGCCAUCAUGGCAACAUGGCAUCCCAUGGCAUGGCUUUAAAGGACAUCCGCACAGCUGAAAUCUGAUUGUGUAGCGGGCGAGCGAAUCGAUUGUACGGAAAAGCGCCAUAAAUUGCCCAACUCAUUAAUUUGCUGUUAUUAUUGCUCAUUUUUGUCGGGUUCAUUGUCCAAAUCCUCGGACAGCGCGUACAUGCUCUCGGUCCCAAGCGCAUAAUUGAUUUAAAUUACGCACGCACAGAGAGGAAAACAAUGGACAUAUUUUGCCAGGACCCUGGCCGCCAGCAGAUCAGUUUCUAUCGGCGCAGAUAAUAAAGUCAUUAUGGGCCGACUCCACCUCCACCUCCACCUACCAUCUCCACCUCCAUUCGAGUCCUGCCAACUGUUGAUUUGGGCCCAGAGCUCCAGACGUGCCGUAUGUAUUACGAGUAUUUGCCAGGGUAAAAACAAACAGCCAGGAAACGCUAUAAUUAUGUGGUGAUUGCGCUGAAGGGAAGUUAGAAAAACGAACAGUGAUUGAAUGCCAAAUCACUUAACCCAAUUGAAAGCCAUUGGCAACCAUUUGGCAAUGGGAAGGCAGGAAGGAAGGAAAAAGCGAUUCUUGCCAUGGCCUCUUUAUUUUUUUUUUUGUCCUGAUGGUCAAAGCUGACAAAUGGCCUAUUGGAAGCUUAUUGGCAGCCACGCUCCACGAGAAUUCAUUUCGAGCCCCGGUUUUUUUUCGCCUUCGUUUUAAAGAUGGCAUGCUAAGUACCAAAAAUGCAGAGUUCCACCCAAACAAUGUGCUGAAGUCAGCAUCUGCCGCUUUCGGUUUACUAUAUAAAUUUUAAUUUCCUCUGUCUGGCGGCUGGCCAAAGAGCAACCAAUCCUAAGCCCAAACCCGAACCAAGCCAGAGCGACGCCAGAAGCCCGAAACAGAUAUGAGACUAUGAAACUAUGAGACUGGCUUCCAAUUCAAACAAUUGUUGCUGAUUUAACACAAACUGCAGGCAAUGCUCUUCUGGGCAAUUGUGCUCUGCCUCCGCUUUGAAUAUUUGUCAAUGUCCAAUUUACAGUGGUCUGCAUCGCAGUUUCGUGUGAUAGUCUCGCUAAGGAUACUAGUCCGGAAACCUUUGGCGAACUGCAAUUUGCAUUCGAGAUGUUUGCCAAUCAAAAAACCAUUUUCCUUAUCAAAUUCAUUUAGCAACACCAAGUCGCGUCGCCGACCACUGUCGAUGGCUCAAAGGCCGUGUGCCAGCAACCUCGCAACCUCAAUAAGAGGAUAUAUAUCCGGUUCGUCCUCGCAGGUUUCUUAAAGUCCAUUGCGGAAGAGGAGUAUUUUGAUUGCAAUUGUGGCCAAGACGCAGCGCGCACCAAAUGCAUUUGUACAUUUUGAACAAAGAAAACGAAGCCAGACUUUGCUUUGGCAUUUCAUUUAAUUACCUUAAAAUAGCCUUCAUUUUUGUAAUUGCCCAACAUAUCCAAGUGCAGGGUAUCUUCCAGUUGAUCGUCUCGAGCACAUCCGUUCUAUUUGUUUUUCCAGCCCUUCAUAUGCAGGCGGAAACUCCAUCUUUCGCUGCUUUCUGGCCUGCAACUUGCGGCAUAUAAAACAAACUUUGUCGGUAUUUAAUGAAGCUGAAAAAUGCCUCGGUUUUAUUAUUUUAUUUGAACUCAGUUUCUUCUCAAUGCUGUUGCAUUUAUGCUCCGUUCUCCUUUUGCUCUCCUCGUGUCUAUUUGUUCACCUAGCAUUUUUUCACCGUCGGAUGUUAAGCGUUGGUUUUUAUAUGCGUAUCCUGUGAAGUACAUGGGCUAUAUUGCAAUCCUGCAAUUUUAUAUACACAGCGGGCAGAAAUACAGAAAAAAAAAAUGCUCGGAACUAGACUCUAAAAAAAUCGUGAAUGCCAAAGUCGAAUUCCCGAUUGUUGGUACUCAAUGGUCCAUUUCCGAUUUUUUCCGAUUUUCGCUGCAAACGGGGACUUUUGCUGGUAAGCUUUAAUAACAAAUGUGUAUCCUCCAUCGUCUUAUUCCACCGUAAAAAAGGAUUAUGCUUACUUAUAUUUAAUAACAUAAUCCUCAGUAGUUGUCAUAUCAACGUCUUGACCUCCAUACGAUUAUACGUAUUCAUAACUUAUUUAUUAAUAUUUUUAAUUCACCUAGGUAUUUUUAAGCUUUAUCAAUUCCAUUUCCUUGUUGUAUAUGCAACUUCAGUGAAAUCUGCCGUUGGCGCCCCAUAUGGGCUGACAUUGUGUGCUCGGGAGCAAUAAGUAAUGACUGCUGAUUUGUAAAUGUCAGUAGCCAGUCGACGCCUCUGAACUGAACUGAGUUGGCCUUAACUGAGCUGGCCUGAACUGAACUGAACUGAACUGGGCUGGCUUACCGCACUGACAUUAUCGUGGAUGUCCUGCGAGUCCUGCGUCCUGUGAGUCCUGCGUCCUGUGCGUCCGGCGGCGGCGGCGGCGGUGACGGUGACGGCGUCGUCUUGUCGCCAUGCAAAGAGCAGCUGUGUGGUGUAUGCUUUGCUAAUUGGCCGCCAACCGCCGGCGCCAUCCUUUCGCCCCAACAUCCCCCCGUGAUUGAUUUGUUUGACUUAAGCCACGAGUGUAUGCCCGUGAAACGCAGCGAUAAACGGUGUAAAAUUAAUUAGCCACUACCUAGAGUCGAGAAAGAGUACGAGUACGAGAAUGAGAACGAGAACGAGUGGGAAAACGUGGAAGUGGAAGUGGCACGUAAAUGGAUUGCCCCAACAACGCUUCCUGUCUGUGUGCCCCUUGCUCGAUUGUGUGCUUAUAAAUAAAUAAAUGACUCAGCUUACGCCGAUUUAA